rnacentral:rRNA from 1 species
AUGACGGUCAUAAGUUGGAACUCCCGGGGCCUCGGGCAGCCCCGGACAGUUCAAGAGCUUGUGUGCUUAGUGCGCACGUACCGUCCAUCUCUAGUUUUUAUCUCGGAAACUAGAAAGUGCGAGAAUUAUGUAAAUAAAUUGCGUUCGAGACUAGGUCUCAAGCACUGCAUCUCCCAUUUUGGGAAUGGAAAAGGUGCAGGUAUAGCUCUCUUCUAUGAUGAGCAAGUUGAAAUAAAGAAACUCGCUGUUGGCCCGCGUUACAUUGAUGUGUUGAUCCGACUCAAUCCCCAUGCUCAGCAAUGGAGGGGUACUUUUAUCUAUGGAGAACCUAAGGCUAGCGAGAGACACCAUAUGUGGGAUCUCCUAAGGAGGAUCAAACCUUUGGCAGACAAGCCUUGGCUCAUGAUCGGUGACUUCAAUGAAACAUCAUGGCAACAUGAGCACUUCUCAAAAACCACCAGAAGUGAAAGGAACAUGGCCAACUUCAGAGAAGUUCUUGCUGAUUGCAGCUUGAUAGAUCUCGGUUUUAAAGGUCCCAAAUGGACCUAUGAUAACAAGCAGAAAGGAGUGGAUAAUGUGAAAGCAAGAUUAGACCGUGGAGUGGCUGAUCAUAGAUGGAGCUCUAUGUUUCCGAGAGCUUCUAUUGAGCACAUUUGUACUUCCAGAUCUGACCACCUCCCUUUGCUUCUCAGGUUUGGUCAGAGGAAAGAGCGGAGACCAAUAAAGAAAGGGUUCCGUUAUGAGUACAUGUGGGAGAGGAUGGAAUCACUAACAGAUGCAAUAGUGAACUCUUGGGAGGACAAGGGGACUGCUGGUGAUCUCUGCGAAUUUGGUAAAAAACUGUCGAAGUUGCAACAGUCUUUAAAUUCUUGGGCCAAAAAGAAUUUCGGCUCCAUUGUAAAGCAAACUGCCAUGUUGAGGAAUCAGUUGGAUAAGUUGUGGAUGCUUCCAGCUUCAGUUGCUAGGGACAGGGAGAUUAAAUCUGUUUGCAAGAAUCUGGACGAAAUGCUCCACCGGGAAGAGAUGAUGUGGAGGCAACGUUCAAGAGCUUUAUGGCUGCAGGAGGGGGACAAAAAUACCAAGUAUUUUCAGCGUAAGGCUACGUGGAGACGUAAGAAAAACACAAUCAGCAAAUUAAAGGAUGAGAAUGGGAAUUGGGUGGAAGAGCGUGCCAAACUGCAGGAGAUGGCGACUAGAUUUUUCAAACAGCUAUAUACCAAAGAAGAAGGAGUCGAUCCCAGUGUCAUUGUGGACGGCCUGAAUGUAAGAGUUACGGAUGAAAUGAACCAGUCCUUGUUAAAGGAGUUUUCUGAGAAGGAGGUCAGUGACGCGCUAUUUCAAAUAGGUCCUCUGAAAGCUCCUGGUCCCGAUGGUUUCCCAGCCAGAUUCUUCCAAAGAAAUUGGAGCACGGUCAAGAUAGACGUGGUGAGUGCGGUCCUGAAGUUCUUCAAGGAGGGGGUCAUUCCGGAGGGUAUCAACAAUACUGUCAUAGUGCUUAUCCCAAAAAGCAAUAACCCCGAGUACCUUAAGGACUUCAGGCCCAUAAGCCUAUGUAAUGUGAUAUACAAGGUAAUAUCAAAGUGCAUGGUCAAUCGCUUGCGGCCUUUUUUGGACAAGAUUGUCUCAGAGACUCAAAGUGCUUUUAUCACAGGGCGUUUGAUAACAGACAACGCCACUAUUGCCUUUGAAUGUUUUCACAAAAUCCAUCACAGCAAAAAUCCUGCCAAUACGCAUUGCACCCUCAAAUUGGAUUUGGCAAAAGCUUAUGAUAGGGUAGACUGGGGAUUCAUGGAAAAGACUUUGCUGAAGCUCGGUUUUGACCACAGAUGGGUCUGUUGGGUGAUGACUUGUGUGAAGUCCGUGAGGUAUUCUGUUAAAUACAAUGGGGAACUGCUCGAGAUGUUUCUUCCGACGAGAGGUCUCCGGCAGGGAGAUCCGUUGAGCCUGUACCUGUUCCUUUUCGUGGCGGAGGGCCUUACUAGCCUUCUGAAUGAAGAGAUUCGACAAGGAAGAAUUACCCCUCUGAAGAUUGCUAGGGGAAGCCCUGGAAUCUCCAACCUCCUGUUCGUCGACGACAGCCUCCUCUUUUUCAAGGCAUGUAGAGAGGAGGCGGUUAAUAUGAGGCAUAUCCUCGAUGAGUUUCAGAAGGGGUCGGGACAACUGCUCAGCAACAGCAAAUGCUCCUUUCUUUUUAGCGAAAUGUGCCCGGCUGUGACCCAACAGAAUAUUAAAUCUGAGCUAGAGAUAAAUUCACACACCUUUGAUAGCAAAUACCUUGGUCUGCCCACUCCAGAAGGGAGAAUGAAGGAGGCUGUGUUCCAACCGAUUAUGGAAAGGUUUGUUAAGAGACGUUCAGUUUGGUCUGAGAGGUUUAUGUCCCUUGCGGCAAAACAGGUCUUAGUUAAAUCUGUCAUGCAGGCCCUCUCUACCUACUGUAUGGGAGUGUUCAAAAUGACCCAAAGCUUCUGCGACAAAUACGAAAAACUGAUUUGGGAUUUUUGGUGGGGGGAUGAGAAUGGUCAUCGGAAAGUGCACUGGAUGCCAUGGGAAAGUAUGAUAAGACCAAAAAGAGGUGGGGGCAUUGGGUUCAAAGAUAUGUCUCUGUUCAACCAAGCCCUUCUUGCUAAACAAGCUUGGAGACUGAUUCAUAGACCUGAUUCACUGUGCGCGAGAGUUUUGAAAUCUAAGUACUAUCCGCACGGUGAUUUGGUAGAUACGAUGUUUGCUUCAGACGCAUCUCCUGUCUGGCGGGGCAUUGAGCAUGGUCUGGAUCUUCUCAAAGCAGGCCUUGUUUGGAGGAUUGGUAACGGCAGGAAAGUGAACAUCCAACGAGACAACUGGAUCCUACGGGACGAGGGUCUCAAACCAGCUACCUUCAUCCGUCGCUCCAGACUUCGGUGGGUUAACCAAUUAAUGCAACCAGAUGGUAGUGGCUGGAACAAGGAACUGAUCCAUCAGGUGUUCUACCCUUUUGAUGCUGACGCUAUAUGUAGUAUUAAGUUACCAGCUUCUGAUGCUGAGGACACUCUAGCUUGGCACUAUGAAAAAUCUGGAAACUUUACGGUUCGCAGCGCAUACAGACUGGCUUAUUCCAUCAAGUAUGAAGCCUGCCUGUCGGCAUCCAGCUCUACAAACAAUGCCAACGACCGAAGCAUUUGGGUCAUUAUUUGGAAAGCAAAGGUGCUAGAGAAAAUUAAGAUCUUUGGGUGGAGGGUGGCCACUAAUACCUUGCCUACGAAGAAGAACAAGUGGAAACGCACACUUGAAGUUCAUAGCACUUGUAACAUCUGUGGUAAUGAUGAAGAGGAUGAAUUCCAUGCCAUCGUUUCAUGCACUAAGAGUAAGGCUCUGAGAAAUGAAAUGAGAGGGAUCAGGGACCUGCCAAGUGAAAAACUCUUUGGGUACACCGGUGUGGAUUGGUUGCAAAACCUUCUUCUCCCUUGCAAUUCUGAGACUAGGUCGAAAGUCCUUUUACUUCUCUGGCGGUGCUGGUUUCUUAGAGAUGAUUGCGUUCAUAACGAAGGAAAGGAGUUCAUUGGCCGCUCUGUUCUGUUCCUUCAGCAGCUUGAAAUCGAGUUGAUCAGCUGCAGUACCACUUCUGACACUAUGAAUGGCAAAGGAGUCUGCCGGCAAACGCCCCAAAUUUUGGCCGGCGAAGGACAUUCUCUUGUUCUACCUGGUUCGGGCGCGACCGUCGUCGCAGAUUCUGUCCUCUGGACUGCUCCUCCGGCUGGUACAGUUAAGCUGAAUUCGGAUGCGUCCUUCUUAUCUAGCAGUAGCAAUUCCUAUGUUGGGGCGGUCGCUCGGGAUCAUAAGGGUGCUAUUAUAUUUUCACUGUCUAAGAGGACCGAUUGCUGUUCCGGCGUUGAGGAAGCAGAAGCUCUAGCUCUUUUGGCGGGUCAGCGGGCUCUGUCUGUUAUCUACAGGGGGCCUCUGAUUGCUAAAACUGACUGCUCCGUCCUCGCAUGUGAGCUGCAACCUGGCUCUAUAUGCAGGUCAGCCUGGUUCCCUGCGUUAUGUGAUAUUAAGAUGGAGUUCCUGAAGUUUCAGGCUGUUCAGAUUGCCCAUUCUAAGCGAAUCAGGAACAAACUAGCUCACGGGCUGGCAGCGCGUGCUAGGAAUGGCGAGAAUAUGCAGAUGGUGGCGCAAGUCCCUGAUGAUCUGAUGGACGUGAUGAUGGCUGAUGCCUUGUCAUGCCAAGAGUAA